UUUUUUUUUUUUUUUGCCAGACAUCUGUACAAGAUUUAUUUCAUUAACCACAAUGUUUUAGAGUGAUGGUAUACACCCUAAUACAGAAGGAGUGAUUCAAAAUCCAUUUAAAGGUCAGAGCCAAAGUCAAGUGGCUUUGAAGCCCCAGUCAACAACAGUUUUAUCCACCAUUUGUUUUUCUUGGAUUAAUCAAAGAGUUGACAUACAGAACACCCUGUUCUAAGCUCCACCAUGCUUCCCGCAAACAAGCACCACCACGGACCAGACUUCAUUGCUUCAUCCUUGCUCGGGCUACACUGGUGGGUGGCAAAAGCCUCUUGUCUGCAUUUGACCUCCCAUUUACUGAUAAGCGUUCCUGUCUCCAGCCCGAGUUCCCCACAACAUCGUAUCUGAAUAGUUUCUCCUGAAUUGCAUGGCUGUAAUACUGACAAACUGGACUAAUGAGGGCAAUUAAAUUGCUUUCUGUUUAACAAAACAUACCCUUCUAAGAGAAUAUCCACAGGCUUAUUGCAUUUAGUACAGUCACGACAUUGAAAUGACAUGUGAGAAUCAAUACAAAAUAUUUAUUUUUUUCAAACCGCAGAAUUCACUCCAGAGCCAUGCUAUAAAUUUCCCAGAAUUGUAAGCCAUUAACAUUUCUCUAAACAAUGCAGUCCAACCAGAAAAAAAGAUAAUUUCCAGUCAGCAGGGGUACAAUACAUAUUAGGGUCCUUUAAGGAUGUACCUCUGAUUAGCAUUUUUAAAAGAUCUCCCACAGCCACUCCACCAACAUAAGCAGAAACGGUACAUGUACUUGUGCCACUUGGCUCUGAAAACAGAGGCUUAAAAUAGGGUUUCGGCCGGUGGAGAUGAGAAAGUAUCAAUGACUUACUUAGUAAACAGUGGGGACAGAAGAGGAGGCAUUUCCCUUAAAAAGAACAAGGGUCCUUUCAAAUAACCUGGUGGCCAGAAACUGGGGCAAAUUUCAACAAAGUAAUGAAAGUAAUAGGAAAGCCAUUUCUCCAUGAACUCCUGUGGCCUCUACUCUAACUUCUGAUAAACAUGAACUUCAUCUUAUGCAAUCUUAUUGAAAACAGUCGACACAAACAAAAAGGGCCUUAUAAACCUCUUCUAGGGGUCAGUCAAGGGAUUCAUAUUCUGAUCUUAAAUAUUAAAGUCCCCUUAAGAGCCCUAAACCUGGAUUAAAGUAAACAUAAUACUCUGAAGCUCAAUGAGACACCAUUUAAAAAACAUCCAAACAAUAACUGGAUAACUAACGUAGGGGUUCUGUUUUGCUUUUUAAUUGUAAAGGUUUUUAAUAUCUUAAAUUAGUGUAUAUUCAUAAAAGAAUGUUCAAUUAUCUAAUAAUAGCUGCUUAUUAGACAACUGAAUAUUAGCUCGAGGGCAAUGUCUCUUGCAUAAAUAAUCAUGGAAAUAAUGAACUGCAAUACAACAGGAAAAAACAGAAGAAAACAGAGCCAGUCUCAAAGAGAAGAUGACAAAAUCUGGAAGGGUUACCCUGGGAGAUUAAACACCCUUGUUUAAUUAAGGGUUACCCUGGGAGAUUAAACCUUCUACGAUACUCCUACUAACUUUUUAACUCCAGAAACCAAUCGUGUUUGCGAGAUCACCAAUAUCUUCGCUAGCACAUGUGCACAGACCAUCACUGAAGUUCUCUUUUUGUGCUAAAACACUUUCAAAUCCCUCGUUCCAUCAGUACAGAAUAUUGCGAGGUGAUGUAUGUGCAAACUCUUCCUGAGGAAUUCUUUACGUGUGCAAAUUUGCAACCUGACAGAAAGCAUGGCGUACAGCGAGGGGAGUGACAGCUUCAUAGGGCUGUAGCGCCGGAGAUGCACCUGCAGUGUUAACGACCACGGGCAUCCACUCUCCACAAUCACACUCACAAAUCGGCUUGCAUCCCAUCCCCAAAGGAAGGGAGGGGAAAUGCCUCAAACUUUGUAAAAGGGUCAGAAAAAAAACAGCUUUUCCACAAAAUUUAAUAAUGCACAACUCAUGCAUCCAGGUUUGUGUUUCUGCUAACUCUAGCUAAAAACUAGCAGGUUAAGAGGCACAACACCAGGUCCACAGAAAACAAAGCAGGUUAAGGUGCAGCUGUGACAAGAGAGGACAUGAGAUGACACUGUUAACCGAAGCUUAAGGCCAACCUUAAAAAUAAGCACCACCUCUCAAAACAACCACCAUCUACUGAUGUUGACACGUCAUCAACCCACGACAAGUGAACUGGCUUUCUCUGGAGGGUCUCGUUUGAGGCUGCACAUCCACACACUGGUCAGUUCGGCCAAACCAACUGCAUGUGUGGAUUCACGGGACAAUCAA
rnacentral:lncRNA from 1 species